GGCUUCAUAGCUCAGUUGGUAAGAGCACUGCUCUGGCAUUGCGGAGGCCAUGGGUUCGAAUGCCAUUAAAGACA
rnacentral:tRNA from 1 species